rnacentral:rRNA from 1 species
AUUGAACGCUGGCGGAAUGCUUUACACAUGCAAGUCGAGCGGCAGCGCGGGGGCAACCUGGCGGCGAGCGGCGAACGGGUGAGUAAUGCAUCGGAACAUGUCCAUGUCGUGGGGGAGUAGCCCGGCGAAAGACCGGAUUAAUACCGCAUAAGCCCGAGAGGGGAAAGGCCGGGGACCGGCAAGGCCUGGCGCGAUUGGGUUGGCCGAUGUCCGAUUAGCUAGUUGGUGGGGUAAAGGCUCACCAAGGCGAUGAUCGGUAGCUGGUCUGAGAGGAUGAUCAGCCACACUGGGACUGAGACACGGCCCAAACUCCUACGGGAGGCAGCAGUGGGAAUAUUGGACAAAUGGGCGCAAGCCUGAUCCAGCCA